rnacentral:lncRNA from 1 species
CAGAAAUGGCGACUUCCGCUGGGGAUUUAAUUAAGUUCUAACCAUAAGAUUUGACUUAUUUGACUAAUUGUAUUAAUUGCUAAAUUGUUUAUCUGCUCUCAACGUGUUUAAUUUAUUAUAAUUGUCAUUGCAUUCAUGGCAUCUUCCUAUUAUAUGUAUAGUAUAUUAAGGACGGUUUCUGCAUAAUCGCAUCCGGACUUUUUAUACUCAACCCUUUUUCGAAAGGAUCGACAAUUUAUUGGUACGUCAUGCGUCCAAUGGUUGUCGUGAAUUUCAGCCUAAGUUGUCCACUUGGGUUCCCGGUCUUUCAAAGCCACUCUUAGUCAACUAGCGUAGAGCGAAACCAAAUCCCAAAUUUAGCGCAUUUUGAACUAAGUCGACCCAACGCCCAAGGCGUGUUGGGCCCAUUAGAUGCCCACCUUGUGUCUAUUUGACCCAUUUUGGUCUAUAAAAGACAAUCAUGCUUAUUUGUUUAAAUUUGAAGGAUAUAUACGUUAUUUGAAAAAUCAUUGUCCUCUAGGGUAAGAGGUAGAUUAUAGCUUAUUCUAGCCGAAGGAAUAGCUUCACAAGCUACUAGUCCAUCCAAAGGAGUCGACACUCGAAGAUGACAAGAAGUUCAAGAACGAAGGUCCUUCCAUUGAAGCAUAGUUUAAGAUUGUACCCCUGCGCGGGACUGAUUAUUUUGUAUCCCAUUUUCCCUACUAUGUAUCCCCAUUCAUUUUAUUUACAAAGCAUGUAUAAAUUUAAGUUCUAGGGGCAAUGAAAUGUUUCAAAUGACAUAUACAUCCCUCAAAUCAUUAGGCCUACCCUUGGCACAAAAGGGUCACAUAUCUGUUUAAAAUACGCAAUAACUGUUUAUGUGUUAUAACUGUUUGCGUGAUUAUGUUGCUUUAUUUGAAGAUGUUCUAGCCUACUCUUUUGGAAACUUUCUAG